GGUGUGUUCCGGGGUCGGUGGGAUUCCGAACCGGCGGUGAAAGUCCGCGACCCUCGCAUCCGCGAGGUUGAGCCGGUGUAAUUCCGGCACCGACGGUGAUGUGUGGGGUUUUGGCCCGCGCACAAGUCCGGAUAGGAGGAACGCGGG
rfam:Leucobacter komagatae strain VKM ST2845 L_komagatae_20, whole genome shotgun sequence.